GUCAACAACCCACCACUGACUUGAGUACAAGUACAGUGGGGGCUUGAAAUACAGCCCUAGUUGACCCGCCUAAGUCUUAACUGACUCCGUUAUUUAGGUCAAGACACCGGGCGGAUGCGUAGCUAGUCCCCUGCUCUGUCGCUGAGUAUUAAACAGUCAUUUGGGAGGCAGUGUACUCAGCCUAACAAGCCUUGAUAACAUUGGCAAAGCUAACUUUACCCUAGAAAUAGG
rnacentral:sRNA from 1 species